rnacentral:rRNA from 1 species
GACAGAGGUUGCAAACGUUGUUCGGAAUUACUGGGCGUAAAGCGCGCGUAGGCGGCUUUUCAAGUCGAUUGUGAAAUCCCCGGGCUUAACCUGGGAACUGCAGCCGAGACUGUCUAGCUAGAGUAUGGGAGAGGGAAGUGGAAUUUCAGGUGUAGCGGUGAAAUGCGUAGAUAUCUGAAGGAACAUCAGUGGCGAAAGCGGCUCACUGGCCCGGUACUGACGCUGAGGUGCGAAAGCGUGGGGAGCAAACAGG